AUUCGGAGGGCGCGGUCGAAAGAUCGUGGCCCCGCACACUGCUCAGUAACACGUAGUCAACCUACCCUUGGGACGGGGACAACCUCGGGAAACUGAGGCUAAUCCCCGAUAGGUGAGGGACGCUGGAAUGCCUCCUCGCCCAAAGCUCCGGCGCCCAAGGAUGGGACUGCGGUCUAUCAGGCUGUUGGUGGUGUAACGGACCACCAAACCUACGACGGGUACGGGCGAUGGGAGUCGGAGCCCGGAGAUGGGGACUGAGACAAGGCCCCAGGCCCUACGGGGCGCAGCAGGCGCGAAAACUCCGCAAUGCGCGCAAGCGUGACGGGGGAAUCCCAAGUGCCGUUGGUCUUAUGAUCGACGGUUUUUAGGAAGUCUAAGAAGCUUCCAGAAUAAGGGCUGGGCAAGACUGGUGCCAGCCGCCGCGGUAACACCAGCAGCCCAAGUGGUGACCACGAUUAUUGGGCCUAAAGCGCUCGUAGCCGGAUCAGCAAGUCCCUUGUGAAAUCGGGCCGCCUAACGGUUCGGCGUGCAAGGGAUACUGUUGGUCUUGAGGCCGGGAGAGGUCGGAGGUACUCCUGGGGUAGCGGUGAAAUGCUCUAAUCCUAGGGGGACCACCAGUGGCGAAGGCGUCCGACCAGAACGGACCUGACGGUGAGGGGCGAAGGCUAGGGGAGCGAACGGGAUUAGAUACCCCGGUAGUCCUAGCUGUAAAGCAUGCGGGCCAGGUGUCUAGCGCUCCAUAAGGGCGCUAGGUGCCGGAGGGAAGCCGUUAAGCCCGCCGCCUGGGAAGUACGGCCGCAAGGCUGAAACUUAAAGAAAUUGGCGGGGGAGCACCACAAGAGGUGGGACCUGCGGUUC
rnacentral:rRNA from 1 species